UGCAUGACAUCAUCAGUCUGUUAUAGGUACGAUCUGUGUUGAUCAGAGGACUUCCUGUAUGACAUCAUCAGUCUGUUAUAGGUACGAUCUGUGUUGAUCAGAGGACUUCCUGUAUGACAUCAUCAGUUUGUUAUAGGUACGAUCUGUGUUGAUCAGAGGACUUCCUGUAUGACAUCAUCAGUCUGUUAUAGGUAAGAUCUGUGUUGAUCAGAGUACUUCCUGUAUGACAUCAUCAGUCUAUUAUAGGUACGAUCUGUGUUGAUCAGAGGACUUCCUGUAUGACAUCAUCAGUCUGUUAUAGGUACGAUCUGUGUUGAUCAGAGGACUUCCUGUAUGACAUCAUCAGUUUGUUAUAGGUACGAUCUGUGUUG